rnacentral:rRNA from 1 species
GUGCCAGCCGCCGCGGUAAGACGAAGGUGGCUAGCGUUGUUCGGAAUCACUGGGCUUAAAGAGCACGUAGGCGGCCUGUUAAGCGUCUUGUGAAAUCCCCCGGCUCAACCGGGGAAUUGCUGGGCGAACUGGCAGGCUUGAGGCAAUCAGGGGCGUGUGGAACUCUUGGUGGAGCGGUGAAAUGCGUAGAUAUCAAGAGGAACGCCGGAGGCGAAAGCGACACGCUGGGAUUGCUCUGACGCUGAGGUGCGAAAGCCAGGGGAGCAAACGGGAUUAGAUACCCCGGUAGUCCUGGCCGUAAACGAUGUCCACUAGGUUGGGGAUUCUUUGACGGAUUCCCGGCCGCAGCAAAAGCGUUAAGUGGACCGCCUGGGGAGUACGGUCGCAAGGCUAAAACUCAAAUGAAUUGACGGGG